AUUUAAAGAAAGCGUAAUAGCUCACUGGUCGAGUCGGCCUGCGCGGAAGAUGUAACGGGGCUAAACCAUGCACCGAAGCUGCGGCAGCGACGCUUAUGCGUUGUUGGGUAGGGGAGCGUUCUGUAAGCCUGUGAAGGUGUGCUGUGAGGCAUGCUGGAGGUAUCAGAAGUGCGAAUGCUGACAUAAGUAACGAUAAAGCGGGUGAAAAGCCCGCUCGCCGGAAGACCAAGGGUUCCUGUCC
rnacentral:rRNA from 1 species